CCUACGGGGGGCUGCAGUGAGGAAUAUUGGUCAAUGGACGAGACUCUGAACCAGCCAAGUAGCGUGAAGGAUGACGGCCCUAUGGGUUGUAAACUUCUUUUAUAAAGGAAUAAAACGCGGCACGUGUGCCUUUUUGCAUGUACUUUAUGAAUAAGGAUCGGCUAACUCCGUGCCAGCAGCCGCGGUAAUCCGGAUGAUCCGGGCGUUAUCCGGAUUUAUUGGGUUUAAAGGGAGCGUAGAUGGGUUGUUAAGUCAGUUGUGAAAGUUUGCGGCUCAACCGUGAAAUUGCAAUUGAUACUGGGAGGCUGGAGUACAGUGGAGGUAGGCGGAAUGCGUGGUGUAGCGGUGAAAUGCUUAGAUAUCACGAAGAACCCCGAUUGCGAAGGCAGCUUACUAAACUGUGACUGACAUUGAGGCUCGAAGGUGUGGGUAUCAAACAGGAUUAGAUACCCCAGUAGUC
rnacentral:rRNA from 1 species